rnacentral:rRNA from 1 species
CCUGGUGGCUAUGGCGGAGUGUCUAUACCCGAUCCCAUCUCGAACUCGGCCGUAAAUCGCUCCAGCGCCAAUGGUACUUCGUCUUAAGACGCGGAAGAGUAGGUCGCUGCCAGGC